GGAGGGAUUCCCGAGCGGCCAAAGGGAUCAGACUGUAAAUCUGACGGCUCAGCCUUCGCAGGUUCGAAUCCUGCUCCCUCCA
rfam:Francisella endosymbiont of Amblyomma maculatum strain FLE-Am contig05, whole genome shotgun sequence.